rnacentral:sRNA from 1 species
ACACACUUUCUCCAACAAGGCCACACCUUCUAAUCCUGCCGCUCCCUGGGCCAAGCAUAUGCAAACCAUCACAGGGGGUAACUAGUAUCCUGAAGAAAUAACACUCACACCCUUAGGAAGAUUAUCCAAGCCAUUUGAACUCAUAAUAGAGAAGCACAGCUUGAUUCUGCGUGCAAAAAUCUACAAGUCACCUGGUUUGGAGCCACCAUGAGUGAUUUGCCUUUGUUUUUACACUUGAUCUUAGCCAAAGGGCCGAGAAGCAAUUGCCUUUGUUUUUAAAGAAAAGAUUCCAAACAAGGAAUGCAUAGGAUUCUGAUAGUUUAUAUCAUCCCUCAAACCUUCACUGCCUCUCCUCCAUCUCAGAAAACCGGAGUCAGUAAAUGGAUGUAUGAUGUCCAUGGUUUAGUUAAAACGAAGCUCCAAAUCUGUCCAGGUCUCUGCUGUAGCAAAGCUGCUGACAUAGUUGUCACGUACCUUCUAAGAGAUGCCCCGAGGCAUCGCAUGGACCUAAGGCAUCGGAGCCACAGGGCCUGUGUUUGCAUUUUAUACUUAACUGAGCCUUGUAAGUAAAGUGGUUCAACUUAGGAAGGUUUUCUAAGCUAGUGGGUAGAGCAGAAGAGAUUUCUUGUAAUAGUUAAUAACCAGGAAGCUCAGGCUUUCUGAUUAAUUGUGGCUUUCCUCCGUCUUGGUAUUUGAUAGCUUUCCUACAGUUUGGUUCAAAAGCUACCUCGAUAUCAUUAAGUUAUGUUGCAGUGUUCAGUAUUUGAGUCUGUUCAGCAGGGACACUUGAAAAAUCACCAGCUAUUUUUAAAAGCUUGUUUGUUUUCACCAGCUGUUUUGGGUUAAGAGGGUGUUUACAUCUUGAUGUACAGAAUGAAACAGCUAUAAGUAAUUUUUCCUGUAUACACUGCCAUCUUUCAUUACUUGGAAUGUCAUCCCCGAGAAGGUACAUGACAGCCAUGAUGUUAUGGUCCUAGAGAAUCUGUUCAGUGUCCUUGUGAGGUGUGUGUGGCUGUGUUCAUCCUGUGUGGAUGCAAUGGAGUAGCCUCGACUUACGUGUCCCAUAGCUAAGCACAUGUGUUCUAAUCAUGCCUCGGGCUCUUUGACUCUAUUUGUGCAACAGUCUUUCCCAGUGUGUGUUAAUGGAUGUUUAUCUUAAUUAAGCCAGCUCUGAAAUGCUGCCUGUUGGCUGUGCCAAGAACAGACAAUGUCAUAAUCUAAAAGUAUUUGCUUACUUUAUUGGUCUGGGUUUGAAACAUUCAUACUGAGUCUUUCCCUGAAAGAACAACAUGCCAAGAAAAGCAUUAACAAAAUCUGUUAACAAAAUCUGAACAGAAAGGGAGACAGACCAGAGUAGUGAAGUACAAAGAAGGGCUCGGAGGGUGUGACUCGGUGUCCAGAAGCUAGGGUCAGAAGGGAGCAAGUUAGACAGGGUCCUGUCAAAGAUAAAACAAAUUCCAGAUAAGACCUCUUGUUCUGAUGAAUUUGGUAAAAAUGUUCUUACUUGGGGUCCUGGGGGCGCUAAAAUGAGCAGAACUCCUAAACAGACACUGUAUUUGCACAUUGUGUGGAUUAUCUAUUUGUUGCAGGUUUCCAUUUCUCUCUCUCUCUCCCUCUCCCUCCCUCCCCCCCCCCUCUCUCUCUGUCGUGUGUGUGUGUGUGUGUGUGUGUGUGUGUGUGUGUGUGUGUGUGUGUGUGCGCGCGCGCGUAUGCAUGAUCAUGUGUGGGGAUUUUAUUUUGCUCCUAUAAUUAAGAAUUCUUGCCCUGAGCUAAGAACACAUACCUGUUAAAGCUUGAAAAUCCGUUUGAGACAAGUGAAUUAUGGAGAACUUUUACCCAGUUGUAAUUUAGAAAACAGAUGUUCUAUUCCAGGUUUACUACAAUUAUUUUUGCAAUGUAGGUUGUUUUGCACACCUGACUCAAGCCUGGAAGAGUACAUUUUGGUUAGGUCAUGUCAGGAAUGUCUCUCAGCUGUGGCUUUGCCAGGCUCUACAGAGGCCCCUCUGGUGCAGACCCAGGGUGACUUCUCUGUGCUCUUGUAGUGUGCUGAGGCCCAGAUGGAUACUUACUUGGCUUAACCUAAGGACACACUCUGAACUGCUGGAUUUCCAGGGGAGCAUGUGGAGUAUGUGCUUGUCACUCGCUAUUCAACAAACUGAAGUCACUUUGUUAGAGCUGCCAUGAAGUUAAAGAAUAAAUAAAUAAUUUCAAAAGCAUCCACCAUGUGACCAAAGUGAACACUUCGGCUCACCACAGACCACAGGUCACUCCUGAGUGCUGCACUCUACGUCAUGGUCAGGGUCUCUUAGUCUUUUUCUCCACUGCUCGAGGAAGUGGAACCAUAAACACUGGUGAGUAGAACCUGUUCUGUUGUUCAAGUUGGAUUUAAUAAUUUAAUAAUAUCCUCACUGAAGAUCAGCAAGAGAAUCCCCUGCAACCCUAAGGGUUCUGAAUGGGUUAGUGAGGACCAAGCAGGCAGGAGUGCGGCAAAAAUAUGUAAGUGCCACUUGCGAGAGGCGUUUGAUCAUGUUCAUCCUGCUCUGGGGCUGCUGGCUGAUAGCAGCCCCUGCUGCUGACUCUUAAGUCAUGUCCAGGAACCUCUAGGCAGGUGAAAUUCAGUAAGUGUUGGCCCCUGUGUGCUUGGAAGCCAUAUGCAUCCUGUUUAUAAUAGUGGCUGUGAUUGACACAUUGGUACCUGGUGUCCUGUGCUUUGGCAAUGCUGGUGUGUAAACAGUUACCUCUGCACACCUGAGAGACUCUAAGAGACUACAGAGAGGAGUUCCUGGAUCAGUACUGUAGCAUCACAAAUCCUUCCUAGCAUUGCCUUGGCAACAAACAGUAUUUUCAGCCCAGCCUCACCCCUGGUUCACAUUUGCCCUUUUCUACUGUAUUCCAUGGCACAGCAAUGCAGGCGUCACCCAAGUUCACGGGACUCAGUCAGGGACCAUCUGAGAUCAGGAGACAGGAAUUGUGCCUUCCAUACCCAUGAGGGUCCUCCGACUUCCCCAGCUCUGUCUUGGCCAUCUGACUGUUUUAUGCCAGCGCUCUGUGUCAAGGCUAGGUUACAAACAACCUUGCCUAACGGUGAACAAACAAUAUGUUGCCUUUGUACAUUGCGCUCCAGUAAUGCUUAUCUGUGCCUUUAGUAUUUCUGUGUGGUGUACCUUAAGGCAGCCUGGGAGCAGGAAACACCACCUCAUUUCAUUUGAGAGAACAAAACGUGGGUCAAUAAUGACUUUGGAUGGUACCAUGCCAAUUGGCAGUGGUAUUGAGUUGCCACUUGGGUUUGGGUUUUUAUUUAGAAGUUGGUGCACAUCUGUCUAUGCUGUCUUGUGUCUCAGAAGGGAAAUUCUUGGCAUAUAUAAUAGCAGUAGAGAGAGUAUAGAGCAGACAUAGAAGGAAAAUAGAAUUGUGUGUUCUACAACAUGUCUCUGGGUAUAGCCAUGUUGUCUUCACAGCAAUCUCGAAGGCAUUCUUUCCUACAGAUGAGCUGUCCAAGCCCUAAAGAUGUCACACGGCUUCACCCACAGCCAGUGUGGUCCUUGGUUGGCACCAGGAUUGUAACCCGGAUUGAUCUCACUAAGAACUCAUGCUCUUAGCUACUAGAUAGUCUUAAACCACAUCACAUAGGAGCCUGUAUAACCACAUGUGUAUGCAGGUAUACACUUUUUACAUGCUAAACAGUCAAUGCCAACUUCUGUGGUAAGACAUCCUGAAAGGAAUAAAAUAGUUGGCUAAAAUCCCUGAACUUCUAACCAUAACAGGACAGAUGCUCAAGGGUAUGGGAUUAGAGCACCUAGGUCAAGGCAUCCAGACAUUUUAGUGUUUGUGUUAUUGGUGAGUCACAUGUUACAGGCCCUUGCUUUCCUAAGAUGCUGCCAGAAUACUCUGGUUCUUUGGCUUGGAGUAAUUUUGUGACAAUUCUGCUGAGAGUCUCUAUGUGUGAAAACAGGAAACAGGGAAUAGCUUUCUACCACUGCGACUGCUUGGAUUUAGACUCCCUGGUUCUCUCCUACUUGUGCUGUGAUCUUACAGGUUUCUGAAACCUUUCUGCCUUAGUUUUCUCCUGUGCACACUGAGUAUGGUUGUGAUUGUAAAGUGAAUGGAUAUAGGGAAAGCCCUGGGACCAGCACCAGGCAGAAAGCCAUGGCCACCAUGCUCAUGAAUGUGAUAAAUCUUUGCACAAAGCUCUUUAGAAGCCUUCCCUAGGGGAGGAUUCUGUUGCAAUGUCUAGCAUGCGGUGGUGCCCUAGCCAGACACAUGUGUGGACUUACGGACAGAGCAUACAUCCAAAGAGGGAAAGGAAUUGAGUGACCCAUGCCUGCUGUAUGUCGGGUGCUCUGUUGAGGAAAUAUUUCAUUACACACUUUAAUAACCUGAAGAAGGGAUGUAGUGUUACCGUGAGAGGUAAGCGAUGCCUUUCAGUCUCCCUCCCAGUCUCAAGGCACAGGUAUGCUGGGGAUCCCUGUCCUAUCCAGUAUGGCACAAGAAUCCAGGCAUCAACAGACUUUGCUUUGAAUAUAGCUGUCUGUGUACCUGACAGUCCCGGAUGCUACCUUCCCUGGUGCCUCUGUGAGUCCCUAUUGAUAGGAAGGUGAGAGGGAGGAAGUGAGCAGCCAGCAGCCUGCAGCCUACAGUUCUGUCAACCGAAAGGCAUUCUUGAAAAGUACAAAUAUAGCACGGCUAUAAAAAGAUUAAGGUGCACUGCUCUGAAAACUGAGAACCAGUAGGGAGUGCCAUGGUGGCCAACUGACAAAGUGGAGAAGCAAAUUUUGCAAAACUGGAAAACCAGGGAAAGUCAGGCUAAGUGGAGACGCUGACAAAUCAGACUACAGCUAGCCAGGCCUGAACUAGAGGCUGGCAAGCAGAAAACGGUAAGCGGUGAGGCUCCCUGAGGGAUUCCAGUGAGUUCUCUUUCUUUGGAAGCAUGACAGGGGUCCUGGGGACCAGUGAACUGUCACCAUGGGCUGGGGUGUUUCUGCCCUGCUCACUAGCACUGCAGAACUGAGGUGGAGUGCAGGGAGGCUCCCUCCUUGGCCUGUGGGCUUCCUUUUUAACCUCUACUGUCCUCCUCUCUCCCUUUUCUCCACCACUGUGUGACCUCCCCACCUAGGCCUCCCCAGCCUGUGGUUCAGAGCUUCAAGGCAGAUCUCCCAGUAAGCUGUCCUGCACCGCUGCUACUGAGGACAAAGCAAGCAAAGGUCUUUUCUGACUUUGGUUUAGAGGUAAUCAUACUUCAGGCUUUUACUUCACUGUAAACCCUGCCUGUAGCGUAACAUUAUAAUCUUAAUUCAACUGUUGCUAUUCUGUGUGUGGCCUGGCAUCCAGAAAUUAGGUAAAGAGCUGCACAGAGAGAAUGCCAGAGGGGAAACUUGGAGGCCUGCCAGGCUGCAAUCCUCACGGAACUGUGUUCUUGUAUGGGCUAGAGGCCCUGCAGGUGAGAAGGACAGUUAGGCAAGAUAGCAAAAAGAGCCAUGUAUGUGUGUCCUGACCCCCAACCCAAAGCAGAAGCAGAACCCUGAGGGCUUUUAGAAAUCUAAAAGGAUUUCCUUCAACUUUUAAAAAAAUUACACAUUCUAUAUUGUGCACGUCUGUGCCACAGUGUAUGUAUGGAGUCAGAGAGCACUGGGAAUCAGCUCUACAUCCCACCAUGUGGUUCCAGUGACGGCGCCGUUCUGCUGAGCCAUGGCAACAACUUGCUCACUCACUGUUGCAUCAAGGAGUGACAAGCCUGUUCCCAUAGACCUUGGCUAUGGCAGGACAUUCUGGGUAAAUGGAGGUGACACAAAACCAUGGUUUUCUGGAGUCGUUUGUUGUCGCUGCUACCAUCCUCUGGCUCAGGAGCAGCUAGGCUUCUUGGCACCACUGCUCAGCAUUCCAUCUCCAGUGUCCAAGCGCUUUCCACCCAGACUGACCACAUCGCCAACCAUGCUGAGCUCAGAUUGCUUCUAUUCCAGAGGCCAUGCCACCAAGACUGCUCAGCUGCCUGCUGGUAGAGUCUGUCAUUCCAUCCAGGGUGUUCCAGUCCAGUUGUUGAGACAGGCGUCCAGGAGAAUACCAAGGACUCUAGCAGGCUGCCUGAACCGAUCCUCACUGAUGAUCUAGACAGAAGGAGUUCAGACCGAAGUCACCACCCAACCAGGUCACUGAAGUUCACAGGAGGAAGCCCUGAAGUCUGGUUUUUCAAGUCCCCUCCUCACACAGCUGGGGCGACAGUUUACACUGAGGUGCCCAAGACUCCACCACACCACUCCAUUAGACCUGGCCUAUGGCCUACAGACUUAUCCCUCCACCAAGAGCCCUGGAGGACAAGAGUGGGGACAAGAGAGGAAAAGAUGGCUGGCCAGAGGGAGGGAAGGAAGGAGGCAGAAGGACCAAGGUGAAGAUUCCUGUCUACCAAACUUCUGAUCAACAACCUGAAACGGUACGUUCUAGACUUGAAGAGUUGAGCUUUCUCAACACAAGAGAAGAGGAACUGAAUUCACCUCCCAACAGCCUCAGCAGCAGCUCACAGGUAACUUUAGCUCCAGGGAAUCUAGUGCCUGCUUCUGGCCUCUGAAGGCAGCCACAUUCACAUGCAUGGGGGCAGACACCACAUGUAUGUCAACCUAAAAGCCAAGCCUCCCCACCCCCAAGAAUAAAGUCUCUUUGAAAUUUAGAAAAAAUAACCUUUAAGAGUAUUCUAGCUGUGGUGUGCUUUAAAAAAUUAUUGUGGCUUUUUUUUUUAAAUCACUACAUAGCUCAGACUAGUCUUGAAUUCUAUCCUCCUGCUGCAGUCUUCCAAGUGCUGGGAUGACAGACUUGUGCCAGAAUACUCUCUAUUGUAAUUUUUUUAUUGUUGUAGCAAAAAUACGACACAUUUUGCCAUCUUAAUGUGGCAUUUGUUACAGGCACAGCAUUGGAUGAGCAUCACUGCUACCAUUUCCAAAACUCUUUCAUUGCUCUGAAUGGAAACACAUAGACCAGAAACUCCCAUCCUGCCACCUUUAAUCUACUUUUUGUCUUACAAGUUUGUCAAUCACAGAUAAUUCCAUAUUUGAAAUAAUAUACUAUAUGAAGGGGGCCGCCUGGCUUCUUUCACUCAGCACUGUCUCCAAGGCUCAGUCACGAUGUAGCAUGUGACAGGACAUGGCUCUUCCAUGCACUCAAACACUAGUUUAUCAUGGUUACCUGCCAUGUUUAUGACUUGUCGUCUGAAGAUGGGCAUCGAGUUGCCUCAUUAUUAUAUGCAGGGUUGAAGACAGUAAACUGUCUGCGAGGCUUUGACAGCAACACAGCCAAACCAGAACUACUGACCAGAGGACCAUCAGGGUCACAGCCUUGAAGGAGAGACAACACCCACCCUUCAACAUAGCAAAGCACCCAACCAUCUUCUCGGGAAGACAGAACCACCUUUAACCCACACACACAACUCCUAAGGUCCCUACCAGAUGCUCCACCAAGGCUUUUGUCUGUGAGGCAACUAAGCAAAUAGAUUAGUGAAGGGCCCUGUUUGGAGAGUGGAGAGUCCUUGACUGUUCACUGAUGGAGACAAUGGAAGGAGACAAUAGGAAGGAAAGGGGACAGAAGCCCUGGGUCAACUACUCCUUAGAAAUACAGCCUGGACAGGAAACUUGGUAUGCCCAAGAGAAAACCAAGAUAAAAGAGAACAGGAAGCCAAGCUCUUGGGCGUCAGCCUCGUGGCCAUUCUAAAACUCUGCGCCUCAAUGGAGCCAUAUCCCUUAUCUGCAUACUCUAGACUCAUCUCUAAUCUCAGAGAAUGUCUCUUCUCCACGUGCACUCUCUACCGAAUGCUCACUGACCGAUCCUCUGUUUCAGGCUCUGGCUAGCAGCCCUCUUAUCACACCUGACACUGAAGCAGCAAUGACAAUCUUGUCACAAAGACUAACAAGGGCUUAAUGAGGCAGCCAAUAGGAACAGCCUGGACUCCAGUUGGGCGUGAAGUCAGUUCCAGUUGUGGACCAGCACUGCGUACUCCUGUGUCCAUCACCUGAGCGAACUGUGAUGCUCAGGUCUUGGCAAUGUCCCCUGCCACUGGGAGGAAGCCCUCUGGGCGGCAUGUCAGGGAG